UAUUAUAAAAUUAUACAGGAGCUGGCAAAUGCUCGAUGACAAAGAAAUCUCCCUCAAGCCUUUCCUGCCUCAGAAAUUGGCUCCCACAUGU